GGAAGGAUCAUUACAAAUCUUCUUGGAUCCCCGUCUAUUAUUAUAUGGGUUGCUCUCAAGAGCGCACAUAAUAUAAGACUGUGGUGUUAUCCACAUUUACGCUUGUUGUGUUUGACAGAGUAAUUUUUGGUUGGAAAAAAAGACAACUUUUAACAAUGGAUCUCUUGGCUCUUGCAACGAUGAAGAACGCAGCAAAAUGCGAUACUUAAUGCGAUCUGCAUGAACCUGUGAGUCAUCUAGUCUUUGAACGCAACUUGCGCCGCUCUGCGGCAUGUCUGUUUGAGCACCAUAAUAUACUCACUGUCGGUAAGACGACGACUUGUCUGGAUUGUUGAGCCAGAUUAAAAAUAGUAUAUUAAUUAGUAUUGUUAUGGUGCGCGGAGCACACCGAGUUAGAGGCCUCUUGGUCCUGUCGGUAAUGCCCCGUGUGCUUUUAUAAUAACACACACCAAUUUUGGUCUCAAAUCAGGCAAGACUACCCGCUGAACUUAAGCAUAUCAGUAAGCGGAGGAAAAGAAACUAACAAGGAUUCCCUCAGUAAUGGCGAAUGAAGCGGGAAUAGCUCAAAUUUGAAAUCUCGGUGGGUAAACCACUGCGAAUUGUAGUCUAAAGAAGGUAAUGCAGGCCGUGCAGCGGACCAAGUACUUUGGGAUAAGUCGCCAGAGAGGGUGAGAGCCCCGUCAGUCCGUGAGCCGAGCCAAGUCAGAACCUAUCUAAGAGUCGAGUUGUUUGGGAAUGCAGCUCAAAGUCGGUGGUAAAUCUCAUCUAAGGCUAAAUAUUGGCAAGAGACCGAUAGCGAACAAGUACCGUGAGGGAAAGAUGAAAAGCACCUUGAAAAGGGAGUUAAAUAGUGCGUGAAAUUGUUAAAAGGGAAGCGAUUGAGAUCAGUGUUGGGUCUGGUUCAAGUCUCUGCUCCGGUGGAGAUGACGACCAGAUUUUCCGAGUCAAUGCUGGUUGUGGAUGCUGGACAUGCGCUUCGGGAAGGUGGUGUCGUCCUUCGGGGCGGCUCUUUAUAGACCGAAGUUUGCGGCAGCCUCUGCGACUAGAAAAUUUGGGGUGGUAACGUGUAGUAUACUGGUAGGCAUUGCUUAGAAGGUAGGACAACAUGUUGACCUACCUCUGGCGUGCUGACGAUGCUGCCCUGACCCCACCUACUUUUGACAAAAUGGUCUUAAACGACCCGUCUUGAAACACGGACCAAGGAGUCUAACAAUGUUGCGAGCAUUAUGGUGGCAAACCAGAGAUGCGCAAUGAAAGUGAAAGCCUGUGAGCUUCGGCGCAGCAGGGACCGGCUUGGCAGUAACCUGCCAGGACCGAGUAAGAGCAGGAUUGUUGGGACCCGAAAGGCGGUGAACUAUGCCUGACUAGGGCGAAGCCAGAGGAAACUCUGGUGGAGGCUCGUAGCCGUUCUGACGUGCAAAUCGAUGGUCAAAGUUGGGUAUAGGGGCGAAAGACUAAUCGAACCGCCUAGUAGCUGGUUCCCUC
rnacentral:misc_RNA from 1 species